GAUGAACGCUGGCGGCGUGCCUAAUACAUGCAAGUCGAGCGAACAGACGAGGAACUUGCUCCUCUGACGUUAGCGGCGGACGGGUGAGUAACACGUGGAUAACCUACCUAUAAGACUGGGAUAACUUCGGGAAACCGGAGCUAAUACCGGAUAAUAUAUUUAACCGCAUGGUUCAAUAGUGAAAGACGGUUUUGCUUUCACUUAUAGAUAGAUCCGCGCCGCAUUAGCUAGUUGGUAAGGUAACGGCUUACCAAGGCGACGAUGCGUAGCCGACCUGAGAGGGUGAUCGGCAACACUGGAACUGAGACACGGUCCAGACUCCUACGGGAGGCAGCAGUAGGGAAUCUUCCGCAAGGGGCGAAAGCCUGACGGAGCAACGCCGCGUGAGUGAUGAAGGUCUUCGGAUCGAAAAACUCUGUUAUUAGGGAAGAACAAAUGUGUAAGUAACUAUGCACGUCUUGACGGUACCUAAUCAGAAAGCCACGGCUAACUACGUG
rnacentral:rRNA from 1 species